AUUGAACGCUGGCGGCAUGCUUUACACAUGCAAGUCGAACGGCAGCGGGGAGGAGCUUGCUUCUCUGCCGGCGAGUGGCGCACGGGUGAGUAAUACAUCGGAACGUGUCGAGAAGAGGGGGAUAACCACCCGAAAGGGUGGCUAAUACCGCAUAAAUUCUGAGGAAGAAAGCUGGGGACCUAGGAAUAGGCCUAGCGCUUUUUGAGCGGCCGAUGUCGGAUUAGCUAGUUGGUGAGGUAAAGGCUCACCAAGGCGAAGAUCUGUAGCGGGUCUGAGAGGAUGAUCCGACACACUGGGACUGAGACACGGCCCAGACUCCUACGGGAGGCAGCAGUGGGGAAUUUUGGACAAUGGGGGCAAGCCUGAUCCAGCAAUGCCGCGUGUAUGAAGAAGGCCUUAGGGUUGUAAAGUACUUUUGUUAGGGAAGAAAAGUCAGCUGUGAAUAAUGGCUGAUACUGACGGUACCUAAAGAAUAAGCACCGGCUAACUACGUG
rnacentral:rRNA from 1 species